UACGGGGGGGGCAAGCGUUGUUCGGAAUUACUGGGCGUAAAGGGCUCGUAGGUGGCCAACUAAGUCAUACGUGAAAUCCCUCGGCUUAACCGGGGAACUGCGUCUGAUACUGGAUGGCUUGAGGUUGGGAGAGGGAUGCGGAAUUCCAGGUGUAGCGGUGAAAUGCGUAGAUAUCAGGAGGAACACCGGUGGCGAAGGCGGGUCUCUGGGCCGAUACUGACGCUGAGGAGCGAAAGCGUGGGGAGCGAACAGG
rnacentral:rRNA from 1 species